CCCCGCUUUCUUGCUGCAGGUUGAUCGUCUUGGUUGCAGAUGAGCGAAAGAGAAAAUAGUGGAGGGAGAAAGAGGGAAGGAAGGAAAGAAGGGGGUGGAGAAAAGGAGGGAGGAGGAGAAGGAGAAGCACCCCCUGGCAGGCGAAUUAUGCAUGCACUAAGCGAGGUCUGAGAGAAUGGCUGUGGAAGCUAUCCAUUGCAGUCUAAAUCCAAAUGGUAUCGAUAUCUCCGUCCACACGGAAGGCAUUAACCUGCAACUUGAAGGCGAUAGGGUGGAAUCGUCCUCGCUUAAGAAGGAAAACGCCUCAAAGUUUUCCACGUCGAAAGGAACGCCCAAGAGGCAGCAAGGGGAAUCAGAAGCAUCUAAGUCUCAUAUUGUAAAGCUGACCAAGCCGGUGGCACUGUGGACCCAGCAGGAUGUGUGCAAGUGGUUGAAGAAACACUGCCCUAAUCAGUAUCAAAUCUACAGUGAGUCAUUCAAACAGCAUGACAUAACUGGCCGUGCUUUGCUGAGGCUUACAGACAAAAAGCUUGAGCGGAUGGGGAUUGCUCAGGAGAGCUUACGGCAGCACAUUUUGCAGCAAGUUCUUCAGCUGAAAGUGCGGGAGGAAGUCCGAAACCUUCAGUUACUUACGCAAGUCCUGCUGAUGCAAUCUUAUCCAGUAAGAUGUGGAGAGUCAUCAAUCACUGUGGAGAGCAUUCACCACAGCAGUUGCCACAACAAACAAGAGAGGGAAGCAAGAUGAGCUGAAAUGCACUGAACCACCUGCAGGUCUUAAUGGUGAUGCCAGGAAGUGUUGACUGCCAGAGAAGUACCAGCCUCAGCAGAGAGUUCUCCAUAAACGUUACCAGCCACUAAAGCUGCAGCCCUGCCAGAUGACACAAAAGUGAACUUUUCCUUUAUGAAAAAAACGUAAUAAUGAUAACAAUAAACCAUAAGCAAUGGCACUGCCAGAAGAUGAUGGCCACCGAGAACUAGAAAACCAACCAAAAUCCAACCCAUCUCAUCGACAGGACAAGCCCGGAAAAUUCUCGGUUUGCUUCUGGAAUUAAGAUGCAGUGUAUAACACAGCAAUGCUAACUUCCUCCAGCUGGUAUUGACAACACUUUUAUGCUGGGAAACUGCUUCCGGUUUUCAUCACUGUGCAUAAACUUUGCAUUUCCCUUAGGGAACUCUCCGUGCCCUUCACUAAAAAUUCUGGGUUUGUGGUGUGUUUUUUUUAGCAUGACUCUGGGAUUAUAUUAUGUAUGCAGAUGGCAUGAUGUUCUUUGGGGAGCGGGGACGGGAGGUACCAGCUCUGCACUCUCAGUGGAAAUGUUCACAAAUAUCCUUAAGCCCUGAUAGGAAUGUAAACAUAUCCUGUAUGUGUUAGUAACAUUAGCUGAAUGGUUUUCUGUUUUACAUCAGCCUUCCAUAUGUGUUCUCUACACAUAUGUUCUAGCGGAUUUGGUAGUGCUAAUGUAAAGUUUCUGAGAACACAUCUUAAAAGUUUCAGGUACUUGCACUGAAGUUAGUCCCAAAAUAGCAUUCACAAUAUGCAUAUCUUCACUGAUUUAUGCAAAGUCGGUUUGGUAACUUGUCUGGGCAUUGCUAUGGUUAUUUUGACACUUGAUUUAUAGAGGUAGUAGAGAACGAAAGAACGUAUGCAUCUUUGCUGCACUCGCCCUCCAUAACUGCAAGUAGUUUCUAUUGUUUUGAUGCAUGUUAAAUAAUAGCAGAAAAGAAAAUAAUAGCAAAAAAGAGCCUUCUUUUAUUGCAAGAACCUCUUGUCUUUUAGAAUGAUGACAGACGUAAUAUUUUUAAACCACUGGAGCCAGUUGGGAUAGUACUUUCACUGCAGGCAAUACAAACGUAUUGUUUCUUGGGUACGUUAAAAAAAAAAUUCUGCAAACUUGUAGCAAAAGCCAGCUGUGGGAAGUACUGACUGGCUAGUGCAAGUUCCAACACUGACACACUUUCCCUAUUUCUGGAACAGUUGGGCAACCUUUCUUUCAAUGCUUUCAAUUUUUUUUAUAAAAAUAAGGUGAAGUUGAACAUAUAAAGGAAUAAAUGUAUGUGUGCUAUUUUACAGAAUAUAUAUAUUUAAAAGGCACAUUCCCUCCCUGCACAAGGCUGAUGGCUGACCCAGCAUUUGAUUUGCAUUCGAUUUGCUGAUAUGCAUGUGUGCAAAGUAAAGUGCAUAGCUAAGAGUCAAAGCUGUGACUGAAGAUCCUACUGUAGCCACAGUUUAAACAUUACAUCUGUCUUCAUCAUUCAAAGCUAUUUGUGUUUGUUGCUGGACGUAAGAAGGUAGAGGGAACUGCCUUCCCUGUUUUGUCUUUAUGUACAGUAUAUGGGAAAACUUUACAUAUGAUGAUAUUGCAACUUUAAGAAUCAAGGGCACAAUUGUUUCUAGGGAGUAAAAGGUCUGCCAAGACCUUCUUAGUCUGUUCGGAAGACUAAAGCCUCCUGCUAAAUGUUGGUUUUCCAAAUGUGUUACUAAGCAGUUCCAUCUAACAGCAUUUUCUUCUUUUACUACCCAGCUCAGUUCCUGGGUUCUCGUCAGUCAUGUGUGCCCCAUGGUCUCCGGAUUCCUCUUUCGUUAGUCUGGCAGAUUGCCCACAGGUAGGGCGGUCAAGCCAAAACCCCUAAGGCCAAGGACAUUUUGAAGUUCUUACAUCUUUGGUAGAGUGUCAAAGGGCCUGGGGAGUGUUAGGAAUUUGAGAGCAUAUGUUGCUUUUCAUGAAGCUCACUGUCUUUUGAACCAGUCCUGGCUGUCUAUUUUGCAUUCACGUCUCUGUGUCUCACUCUCACAAACUACUGAGGCUGUUCUCACGAGCAGCCUAACCCAAGCUAGGACAGCCCAGCUUGGAUUAGGCUGCUUGUGUGCAGCACCGUGAUCCGUGCAGAUUCUGGUGCUGCCCGCCCACCUAACCCCACUCCUUUACCUGAGCUUAAGGACGCAAGCAUGCCCUUAACCCCGGCUCUGGGAUCUGCUUGCAGCCCGAGCACACACAGAGACGGGUGCUUAGAACACUCGUCUCACAGGGGUAUCCCCCAAUGCAGUGCGCCCAUUGUGGUGCAUUGUGGGAUAUCUGGAGGCCAGGACGUUGGGGGAUCUGCGCCGCUUACAACAGUGUGGCUUGUGUGGGCGCGUGGGGCGUGCGCCAAAGACAAGCAGAGCGAUCGUCUGGGGUGGAAGGUAGGUUGAACCCUGCCUUCCUCCUAACUGACCCACCCUCCCUGCCCCAGUAUUGGUCAUGAGAAUGAUCUUACUGUCUUCAAAGUUGCCGAGGCCAAGCAAAACUGUUCACUUUUGACAUAACUGUAGCUGGCGCAAGACUGUUGCAUCCAAAGUGAGCUUUGCUCAUUCCUGUUCCGUUUCUAGGUUGCCAAAACACAGCAGGCUCUGGUUUUAUUGCUCAGGAGAGGGCUUUCCAUCCAGUUUCUUGCUUUGGUGCCUACUGGAAACAAAAGUCUUUGUAGUGAAAGAUCAUGGUAGCAUCCAAAGGAGAUCAAAUGACUGAUUCUAAGUGAUCUCUAAACCUAGUAUGAGAGAGGGAAGCUCUGAAAUUGAUCUUUCUCUAGCCUGAUGAUAGACUGUUAUACUAUCAAGUAGCUUUGAAUACAUUUACCAAACAUAUAACAGGCCUUCAUAUAAUGCUUCUCUUGAGUUUGUCAGUGCUACAAGCUGCACCUUAAGCCACUUUAAGAAACCAGCUGUGAUGUGUUCACAGCUUGAACCACACAGCUCUUUUCCCUCUUGAAAUUGCUUUGCCAUUUACACCACUGCUUGAUCUGUCUAGCCAGAUGCAGCAACUGCUUGUCAGUUGGCUUACCUUCAUUAAAAAAAUGCAAGAAAAGCAGUUUCUAUACAUUGGCUAAAUCACAAGUCAGGCAUAUCAGCACAGUUUAUGGUGGUGGCAUAAAGCAAUAUACAGUCAGGUUAGAGGGAGUCAUUUAAAUCCAUCUGAAUUUCCAACUUUCUUGAUGACCUUUGAUAAAGUCAAUAUACUAUUCAGUUGUAGGGUGAGUUAAGACAAAUUCUGGCAAGACAGUAAGCUGGUAACUUCUUGGUAAAAUUCUGGGAUAUGAGUGAGCAUGUUUCUGGUGAGCAUGAAGUCCCAACUCUGUGGAUCCACUGAAGUCCAGUUUCCAGGCCUUCCAGCCAACAUUUGCUCAACAUUCUCUGCCCAUUUGUACCCAACAUUUGAAGUUGGGCAGAGAAUGUGGGGCAAAUGACGGGUGGAAGGUUUAGGAACUGGACUGUGGUGGGUUCACAUAACACAGCCACUGGCAGUGUGCACUCCUCCUGGUGAUCGUGUGAACCCAGAACCAUCAGACUCGCUUUGCAAUUCAUUUGCAGGCUUUUGAUGAACAUCCUGCUUCCCACAUUCACCAUCCAGAUGUUUUUGGAUGCUCACAAGCAGAGCAACAUCCUUUCCCCUUUAUUUAUCCCCAACAUUUAGAAUUCACAGACAUUUGACAAUCGUGCUCCGCCAGAUUGGUUUCUGCAAUUUGAGUCAAAGUUGUGUGUUAAAUAUAAUGAAACUGUUAGGGACUGGUCAUACUGCAGUGACAGAGCACAUGGUUUGAAUGUAUCAGGUUGCCAUCUCUACUGUUGCCAUCAUUGUUUUAGAAAAUCUUGGAUGCCAGGGAUGGGAAAAACUUCUGCUUGAGACUUUUGCCAGUGGAAAUAGAUGGUAAAGGUGGACCUCAUCAUCCACAGCAUUGGCACUCGCAGUUUUGCGUAUCCACAGUCGGAUCAUGUGCACCGACCUCAGUACACACAGUUCAAAAAAGCAUUAAAAUCCACAUAUCCACAGUUCCUAGGUGGUCAGAAAUGAUAAUCUCCAUAAUUCCCAGGUACCAUUUUGCUGAGCAGAAGUACUUUGUGGCUCUUGGGGGGGGGGGAGGUUUACCAUUUUUAAAAUGGAAAAUCACCAAAAGUUGGAGUUUGGAGGAGCAUCGCUGGACAGCUGGAGAUCUGUGGAGCAUAGUACGGCACUUUAUUUCUCUUAUUGCCACCGCUUUAAGCCAUUUUUUUACUCUGGGAACCUAACCCUAACCCAAUUGCCAUUAACUCUAUGAAGUGAUCCUCACAGUCACUCCAGGAGGCUAUCCCCUUCUGUGGGGAGGAAGCCCAAAAUUGCUUACCUCCCCAUACACUAUCACUGCCUCUUCUCUGGGUGUCCAGAUCUGGUCACAGAGCUGGUGGCGGGGGAUCGGCGAGUGCGCAGGGCAUCCUGGGGAGACCCCCGAGACUGGGAGGCUGCUUGUAGUCUCCUGGUCGGGGGUCUGCUCAUGUGUUGCCGUAGCCUGGAGCCAUGCCGCGGCGACACAUGAUCAGUGAAACAUGUUUAGCGGAGCACUCACUCCGCUAACCUCAUUUUAGGGGAGGGCUUCAUAGGCAGGCUAGCCUGCGAGCCCAGUGGUUCUCAUGAUAGGGAGGAAACCGGGCUGGGGUUCCUUAGUCCAGUUUCUCUUCAUUGUGAGAAUCACCUCUAUGUCUCGUUAUCCAUGAUUUUAUUGUCCACAGAACUCAGUGGGAAUGGAACCCCCGCGGAGAACAAGGUCCACCUGUUUAGGGCUAGAUGGAAUGGUUGGACUCCGUAUAAACUAGCUUUAUAAGGCCAUGUGAUGACCAGAGGCGAAACUAUGCACACCUUGCAGAUUAACCUUAUAGCUUACCUAGCUAUGUAUGGCCCUUCUAUUCUGUUUCUCAUCAUAGAGCCAGAACAAAAUUGUUUUCCUCUCUUCUUUACGAAAACCUUUCAACAUUAGAACAUUGUCACUCUGUUCCAUCCUAGUUUCCCCUUCCUUCUUGCUGAAGCCAAUUCCCUGGCUUAACAUAAGAACAGUGCUGCUGGAUCAGGCACAAAGCCCAUCUAGUCCAGCAUCCUGAUUCAUACAGUAGCCCACCAGAUGCCUCUAGGGAGCCCACGGGCAAGAGGUAUGUGCAUGCCCUCUCUCCUGCUGUUGCUCCCCUGCAACUGGUUUUGAGAGGCAUCGUGCCUAUGAGGCUGGAGGUGGCCCACAGCCACCAAACUAGCAGCCAUUGAUAGACCUGUCCACCAUGAAUCUGUCUAAGCUCCUUUUAAAGCCAUCCAAGCUGGUGGCCAUCACCACAUCCCAUGGCAAAGAAUUCCACAGAUUAAUUAUGCGCUGUGUGAAAAAGUUCUUCCUCUUGUCCGUCCUAAAUUUCCUGACCUUCAGUUUCAUGGGGUGACUCCUGGUUCUAGUGUUGUGAGAGAGGGAGAAAAAAUUCUCUCUGUCCACCCUCCACUCCAUGCAUAAUUUUAUACAUGCUUCUUCAUAGGAACUUCCCGUUGUCAUUGCUGUAGCUCUCUUCUGGAACCUUCCCGACUUGCCAGCAUCUGUGGCUCCCACAGUUGCACAGAGUUCUCAUGGCAGGCAUUUCUAUACUUUAUACUUUGAGGAAACCUUUCCAUGUUGACUUGUCUGCUGAGAAAACCCACAUGUCUAUCAUUGAUCCUUUGGUGUUGCAAAAGGUUCUGGGGCAUAUUGUAGGGUGUGCACUCAGUUGAUGCAGCACACAGGUCAGGCCUGUUAGAAGGCCCCCUUAUCCCACUGAACUAAGAGUAUACCCCCCAAUAUUCCACCAUGGCUUUAUACUGCAGAGCAAAGACUGGUAGUGAAGGGAAACCUGUCUUUUGGGAAAGCUUGUCUGCCAUUACUGAUCUACUUACUGCGGAAACCCCCUAGGGUUCUUCAGGGCAUGGUUUGAAAGUACACGUUUUUUAAAAGCAUUCUCUUCUGUUUUUUGGUGAUUUUGUAUAUUCCAGGAUUGUUUCCAUUAAUAAAGACACUAUGAUGUAUUGUUA